rnacentral:lncRNA from 1 species
UGGAGAAGGCAAUCUGAGAUGCUGCUGGUUCCAAGGCUUUAGAAGAAGAGAGAGAGGAUUUUCCCUUGCAUUCUUAAUCCAGUUUUAUCAUUAAUGAUACUAACAUUUUGAUCCAGUUGGAUCUUUAUUUCUAUUCAUCAAUAUUUGGUACACAGAGACGAGGAAGUGGGCAGAAAGGUGACUGAUUAGGCUCCCUCAGCGUACGUUAUCACAUCAUUCUAUUCCCAGGUUGCUAUGGUGCUUCCUAUAAUCCAAGUUGCUUAUA